rnacentral:rRNA from 1 species
GUGGGGAAUAUUGGACAAUGGGCGAAAGCCUGAUCCAGCCAUGGCGCGUGUGUGAAGAAGGUCUUCGGAUUGUAAAGCACUUUAAGUUGGGAGGAAGGGCAGUAAGUUAAUACCUUGCUGUUUUGACGUUACCGACAGAAUAAGCACCGGCUAACUUCGUGCCAGCAGCCGCGGUAAUACGUAGGGUGCAAGCGUUAAUCGGAAUUACUGGGCGUAAAGCGCGCGUAGGUGGUUUUGUAAGUUGGAGGUGAAAUCCCCGGGCUCAACCUGGGAACUGCCUCCAAAACUGCAUGACUAGAGUACGGUAGAGGGUAGUGGAAUUUCCUGUGUAGCGGUGAAAUGCGUAGAUAUAGGAAGGAACACCAGUGGCGAAGGCGACUACCUGGACUGAUACUGACACUGAGGUGCGAAAGCGUGGGGAGCAAACAGGAUUAGAAACCCGAGUAGUCC